rnacentral:rRNA from 1 species
AUUCCAGCUCCAAUAGCGUAUAUUAAUGUUGUUGCAGUUAAAAAGCUCGUAGUUGGAUUUCUGGUGGGAGCGGCCGGUCCGCCGCAAGGUGUGUACUUGGUUGUCUCCUGUCAUCCUUGUGGGAACUGCUCUGGCAUUAAGUUGUCGGGGUUAGGGAACACAUCGUUUACUGUGAAAAAAUUAGAGUGUUUAAAGCAGGCUUAUGCCGUUGAAUACAUUAGCAUGGAAUAAUAAGAUAGGACUUUGGCGUCUAUUUUGUUGGUUUGCACACCAAGGUAAUGAUUAAUGGGGUCAGUUGGGGGUAUUCGUAUUCCGUUGUCAGGGGUGAAAUUCUUGGAUUUACGGAAGACGAACGACUGCGAAAGCAUUUACCAAGGAUGUUUUCAUUA